UAAGGAUUUAAGUUAAGUAAACUUUUAACCUUCAAAGUUAAAAAUAGAAAAUUUUUCUAAGCCUU
rnacentral:tRNA from 1 species